rnacentral:rRNA from 1 species
CCACCACCAAAGCAUUUGCUGUACCGCGUUGACGGAGCGAAGCGACGUCAAACCGAUAAAACAGCAGUGUAAAGUGAGCCGCAGGGCGCUUUGCGCGACAGCGCAAAGGCAGGCGGUUUCGCGUAGCGAAAGCGAAUGCUUUGGGGUGGGGUGACUGCGUACCUUUUGUAUAAUGGGUCAGCGACUUAUAUUCUGUAGCAAGGUUAACCGAAUAGGGGAGCCGGAGGGAAACCGAGUCUUAAUUGGGCGUUAAGUUGCAGGGUAUAGACCCGAAACCCGGUGAUCUAGCCAUGGGCAGGUUGAAGGUUGGGUAACACUAACUGGAGGACCGAACCGACUAAUGUUGAAAAAUUAGCGGAUGACCUGUGGCUGGGGGUGAAAGGCCAAUCAAACCGGGAGAUAGCUGGUUCUCCCCGAAAGCUAUUUAGGUAGCGCCUCGUGAAUUCAUCUCCGGGGGUAGAGCACUGUUUCGGCUAGGGGGCCAUCCCGGCUUACCAACCCGAUGCAAACUGCGAAUACCGGAGAAUGUUAUCACGGGAGACACACGGCGGGUGCUAACGUCCGUCGUGAAGAGGGAAACAACCCAGACCGCCAGCUAAGGUCCCAAAGUCAUGGUUAAGUGGGAAACGAUGUGGGAAGGCCCAGACAGCCAGGAUGUUGGCUUAGAAGCAGCCAUCAUUUAAAGAAAGCGUAAUAGCUCACUGGUCGAGUCGGCCUGCGCGGAAGAUGUAACGGGGCUAAACCAUGCACCGAAGCUGCGGCAGCGACGCUUAUGCGUUGUUGGGUAGGGGAGCGUUCUGUAAGCCUGCGAAGGUGGCCUGUGAGGGUUGCUGGAGGUAUCAGAAGUGCGAAUGCUGACAUAAGUAACGAUAAAGCGGGUGAAAAGCCCGCUCGCCGGAAGACCAAGGGUUCCUGUCCAACGUUAAUCGGGGCAGGGUGAGUCGACCCCUAAGGCGAGGCCGAAAGGCGUAGUCGAUGGGAAACGGGUUAAUAUUCCCGUACUUGGUGUUACUGCGAAGGGGGGACGGAGAAGGCUAUGUUGGCCGGGCGACGGUUGUCCCGGUUUAAGCGUGUAGGCUGGUUUUCCAGGCAAAUCCGGAAAAUCAAGGCUGAGGCGUGAUGACGAGGCACUACGGUGCUGAAGCAACAAAUGCCCUGCUUCCAGGAAAAGCCUCUAAGCAUCAGGUAACAUCAAAUCGUACCCCAAACCGACACAGGUGGUCAGGUAGAGAAUACCAAGGCGCUUGAGAGAACUCGGGUGAAGGAACUAGGCAAAAUGGUGCCGUAACUUCGGGAGAAGGCACGCUGACACGUAGGUGAAGUGAUUUACUCACGGAGCUGAAGUCAGUCGAAGAUACCAGCUGGCUGCAACUGUUUAUUAAAAACACAGCACUGUGCAAACACGAAAGUGGACGUAUACGGUGUGACGCCUGCCCGGUGCCGGAAGGUUAAUUGAUGGGGUCAGCGCAAGCGAAGCUCCUGAUCGAAGCCCCGGUAAACGGCGGCCGUAACUAUAACGGUCCUAAGGUAGCGAAAUUCCUUGUCGGGUAAGUUCCGACCUGCACGAAUGGCGUAAUGAUGGCCAGGCUGUCUCCACCCGAGACUCAGUGAAAUUGAACUCGCUGUGAAGAUGCAGUGUACCCGCGGCAAGACGGAAAGACCCCGUGAACCUUUACUAUAGCUUGACACUGAACAUUGAGCCUUGAUGUGUAGGAUAGGUGGGAGGCUUUGAAGUGUGGACGCCAGUCUGCAUGGAGCCGACCUUGAAAUACCACCCUUUAAUGUUUGAUGUUCUAACGUGGACCCGUUACCCGGGUUGCGGACAGUGUCUGGUGGGUAGUUUGACUGGGGCGGUCUCCUCCUAAAGAGUAACGGAGGAGCACGAAGGUUGGCUAAUCCUGGUCGGACAUCAGGAGGUUAGUGCAAUGGCAUAAGCCAGCUUGACUGCGAGCGUGACGGCGCGAGCAGGUGCGAAAGCAGGUCAUAGUGAUCCGGUGGUUCUGAAUGGAAGGGCCAUCGCUCAACGGAUAAAAGGUACUCCGGGGAUAACAGGCUGAUACCGCCCAAGAGUUCAUAUCGACGGCGGUGUUUGGCACCUCGAUGUCGGCUCAUCACAUCCUGGGGCUGAAGUAGGUCCCAAGGGUAUGGCUGUUCGCCAUUUAAAGUGGUACGCGAGCUGGGUUUAGAACGUCGUGAGACAGUUCGGUCCCUAUCUGCCGUGGGCGCUGGAGAACUGAGGGGGGCUGCUCCUAGUACGAGAGGACCGGAGUGGACGCAUCACUGGUGUUCGGGUUGUCAUGCCAAUGGCACUGCCCGGUAGCUAAAUGCGGAAGAGAUAAGUGCUGAAAGCAUCUAAGCACGAAACUUGCCCCGAG